CCUACGGGCGGCUGCAGUGGGGAAUAUUGGACAAUGGGCGAAAGCCUGAUCCAGCCAUGCCGCGUGUGUGAAGAAGGCCUUCGGGUUGUAAAGCACUUUCAGUGGGGAAGAAAGCCUUGGGGCUAAUACCCUCGAGGAAGGACAUCACCCACAGAAGAAGCACCGGCUAACUCCGUGCCAGCAGCCGCGGUAAUACGGAGGGUGCGAGCGUUAAUCGGAAUUACUGGGCGUAAAGCGCGCGUAGGCGGUCUGAUAAGCCGGUUGUGAAAGCCCCGGGCUCAACCUGGGAACGGCAUCCGGAACUGUCAGGCUAGAGUGCAGGAGAGGAAGGUAGAAUUCCCGGUGUAGCGGUGAAAUGCUUAGAGAUCGGGAGGAAUACCAGUGGCGAAGGCGGCCUUCUGGACUGACACUGACGCUGAGGUGCGAAAGCGUGGGUAGCAAACAGGAUUAGAUACCCCUGUAGUC
rnacentral:rRNA from 1 species